AAGACCUAACCACAGACCCAGGGUAUACAGGUCGUGUGAAGUACACUGGAACAUACAGAGGUCCCUUCAUCCUGAGAAUCACAGAUCUGAGAGAGGAGGACUCAGCUGAGUAUCGCUUCACUUCUAAAACAAAGAAAUGGGGUCAUAGUUUCCCAGGAACAACUCUGUCUGUCACAGGUCUGCAGGUGAAGGUGACUCCUGCUGCAGAGGGACAGAAGACACUGACCUGUAUCACUACCUGUACUCUGACUGACAACCCCACCUACAUCUGGUACAGGAAUGGACAGAAUGUACAAGAUACCUCCUCCCCAUGUACUCCAUCAGCAGUGAGGAUGCAGACAGCUACUACUGUGCUGUAAAAGGCCACGAUGGUCUCAGCUCUCCUGCAGUGUAUAAACCAAAGACCACAGUGUCAGUCAGUCCCUCUGGUGAAAUAGUGGAGGACAGUUCAGUGACUCUGACCUGCAGCAGUG